rnacentral:rRNA from 1 species
AUUGAACGCUGGCGGCAGGCCUAACGCAUGCAAGUCGAGCGGCAGCGGGAAAGUAGCUUGCUACUUUUGCCGGCGAGCGGCGGACGGGUGAGUAAUGCCUGGGAAAUUGCCCAGUCGAGGGGGAUAACAGUUGGAAACGACUGCUAAUACCGCAUACGCCCUACGGGGGAAAGCAGGGGACCUUCGGGCCUUGCGCGAUUGGAUAUGCCCAGGUGGGAUUAGCUAGUUGGUGAGGUAAUGGCUCACCAAGGCGACGAUCCCUAGCUGGUCCGAGAGGAUGAUCAGCCACACCGGAACUGAGACACGGUCCAGACUCCUACGGGAGGCAGCAGUGGGGAAUAUUGCACAAUGGGGGAAACCCUGAUGCAGCCAUGCCGCGUGUGUGAAGAAGGCCUUCGGGUUGUAAAGCACUUUCAGCGAGGAGGAAAGGUUGAUGCCUAAUACGUAUCAACUGUGACGUUACUCGCAGAAGAAGCACCGGCUAACUCCGUGCCAGCCGCCGCCGUAA